rnacentral:tRNA from 1 species
UGCUUGGUAGUUCAGUGGUUAGGACUUGGUACUUUCAUUGCCAAAGGUCUGGGUUCAAUCCCAGGUCAGGGAA